rnacentral:sRNA from 1 species
GUAUUUCCGCCGGCGCGAAACGAGCGUAGCUUCCUUGUCGUGUGGCCUCAGUCCUUCGCCGUCCCUCGCCGUCCUUCGCCAUCGCACGCCACCGCACCCCAUCUCUCGAAAUCUGCAGACAUCUUGAUUUUUCCCACGCUGUCUGUCAGGUCUCCGCCGCCACUCGACGCCAGGGCGCCGGGUGAGUCCACAGCAGGGCGCAUGGUCGGCUCCACUCUCACCAUCGGGGGAAACUGAGGCCCCGGGGAAGGCGGCCAGAGAGGUCAGGCCCUGUCCUUGGUGCAGUGUCUCGUCCUCUUUGCCGGAGUGAGCCCCCCAGGAUUCGCGUGUCCUCGGGAAAGACACUGGCAGGCCUUGUGGGCUGUGCUGCACCUCGGACGGCUUCGCACCAGCCAGCGCCCUCUCUCUCCUGCAGCACUCUGAUCUGCACCCCCUGAGGGGCUUCCACUGUCCGCGGGGUGAGAAUGCCCCUGGGAGUGUCACAUGACUGCCGCCCCAUGUGUGUGAGAGGCGUCCUCUGGGAGAGCAUGGAUCCUGAGGUCCCAGGAUUGUCAGCUGACCUCUGUCCUGUGUGCCCAGUGGCCCCAGGUGACGUGUCUUCAAGAAGAGGCUGAGCUGCGGUGCUUGUAAGAUGGGUCUGCUGUGUGCAGAGGCUCCAUGGGAUGUGUUGUCUUCAUAGUAGCAGGGCGCUGGACCAUGGGUCCGCAAGGUCUCAGCCUUAGAUCCAAGGACAGUCCAAGGAAGUCCUAAGACCAUGGAGUUGGUGAUCUGGGAUCUGGGUUUGCUGAUAUUUCUCACCGUGAAUCUCUUGGUGGUGUUUGUGGGCACGAGAGGGGCAGAGAAUGGAGAGUGAGGCUACCACAUGAAGCGUCACCAGAGCUGCUCCCUGCUGCCUGCUCAGAGCACCCCGGAUCCACUGUUCAAUCUGCACAAGAUUCGGGGUCCAGACAUGGGAGACUUCAGCUGCCUCAGAGGACCGUGGACAGGGAAGGCCAGCCUCGCAUCCCUCUGUCCAUGCCUGGAAUGACUUUAAUAACCAAGAGUUUUAUUUUUGAAUUUGUAGCUGUCGUUCACUUUUUACCCACCCAUUCAAUAAACCUUACAGAAUUGCUCCA